GACGAACGCUGGCGGCGUGCUUAACACAUGCAAGUCGAACGGAAAGGCCCUGCUCUUGUGGGGUGCUCGAGUGGCGAACGGGUGAGUAACACGUGAGUAACCUGCCCCUGACUUUGGGAUAACUUCAGGAAACUGGGGCUAAUACCGGAUAGGAGCUCCUGCUGCAUGGUGGGGGUUGGAAAGUUUCGGCGGUUGGGGAUGGACUCGCGGCUUAUCAGCUUGUUGGUGGGGUAGUGGCUUACCAAGGCUUUGACGGGUAGCCGGCCUGAGAGGGUGACCGGCCACAUGGGGACUGAGAGACGGCCCAGACUCCUACGGGAGGCAGCAGGGGGGAAUAUGGCACAAUGGGCGGAAGCGUGAUGCAGCAACGCCGCGUGCGGGAUGACGGCCUUCGAGGUGUAAACCGCUUUCGCCUGUGACGAAGCGUGAGUGACGGUAAUGGGUAAAGAAGCACCGGCUAACUACGUG
rnacentral:rRNA from 1 species